AGCAAGUGAUGGCCGUAAAACGGCAUGAAAGCAGCGUCACAAGUAGCGGGUCUCGGCUCUGAUUUGCUGCGGCAGGAAAAACACACCAAGUGUGAGCCGGAGUCGCACAGCGGCUUCAGCCAAUCAGCGAGCUCCAGCGCGGCUUUUCGCACGGCAUUAUGGGAUGCCAUCUCCCCCCUCCCCAACUUCUGGCAAUCAGGAAUCCUGUCUCCUUGGCAACCGCCCUCCGUGUCUGGUCACGUGCAGAGAGAGCGAGGUGUGUAUAGCGCUGACAGACACCGGAGCGGUGCGCAUUAAACCUGGAUUAAUAAUGGCAGCCAUGUUAAUAUCUGUGGAUAACAUCUCAUUAUAC